AGUGAACGCUGGCGGUAGGCCUAACACAUGCAAGUCGAACGGCAGCACAGUAAGAGCUUGCUCUUACGGGUGGCGAGUGGCGGACGGGUGAGGAAUACAUCGGAAUCUACUUUUUCGUGGGGGAUAACGUAGGGAAACCUACGCUAAUACCGCAUACGACCUACGGGUGAAAGCAGGGGAUCUUCGGACCUUGCGCGAUUGAAUGAGCCGAUGUCGGAUUAGCUAGUUGGCGGGGUAGAGGCCCACCAAGGCGACGAUCCGUAGCUGGUCUGAGAGGAUGAUCAGCCACACUGGAACUGAGACACGGUCCAGACUCCUACGGGAGGCAGCAGUGGGGAAUAUUGGACAAUGGGCGCAAGCCUGAUCCAGCCAUACCGCGUGGGUGAAGAAGGCCUUCGGGUUGUAAAGCCCUUUUGUUGGGAAAGAAAAGCAGCAGGUUAAUACCCCGCUGUUCUGACGGUACCCAAAGAAUAAGCACCGGCUAACUUCGUG
rnacentral:rRNA from 1 species